CGGAGCGUGGCGCAGCCUGGUAGCGCACUUGCAUGGGGUGCAAGGGGUCGCGAGUUCAAAUCUCGCCGCUCCGACCA
rnacentral:tRNA from 1 species